rnacentral:rRNA from 1 species
GCUUGUCUCAAAGAUUAAGCCAUGCAUGUCUAAGUGGAGUAUUAUACAGCGAAACUGCGAACGGCUCAUUACAACAGAUAUAAUUUACUAGUUCUUGAUCCUAUAUGGAUAACUGCGGUAAUUCUGGAGCCAAUACAUGCAUCAAGCCUCGGCCUUCGGGUUCGGGGUGCAAUUAUUGGAGCAAAACCAGUCUCGUACUGUUUGCUAACUCUGGAUAAUUCUGCUUAUCGCAUGGUCUCGUACCGGCGAAGUUUCUUUCAAGUAUCUGCUUUAUCAACUAUCGUUGGUAGUUUAUUGGACUACCACGGUGUUGACGGGUAACGGAGAAUCAGGGUUUGACUCCGGAGAGGGAGCCUUAGAAACGGCUACCAUGUCUAAGGAUAGCAGCAGGCGCGAAAAUUACCCAAUAUCAAAACGAUGAGGUAGUGACGAGAAAUAACGAGAUCGUUCUCUUUGAGGUCGAUUAUUGGAAUGAGUACAAUCCAGAAAUUUUAACGAGUACCUACGAGAGGGCAAGUCUGGUGCCAGCAGCCGCGGUAAUUCCAGCUCUCGUAAUGUAUAGAAUUAUUGUUGCGAUUAAAAAGUUCGUAGUUGGAUUGUCACGCGGGUAUGGGUCCGGCCUCGUGCCGCGUACUCAAUGCCCGCAUUUUGUUGGUGUUCGCGGCGGCGAUUCGUCGUCGUCCGUGAUGCCAGCAGGAUUACUUUGAACGGCUCAAGUGCUCAAAGCGAGUCUUAUGACUGAAUACCGGUGCAUGGAAUAAUGGAACAAGGUUGCGGCCGAGUUUUAUUGGUUUUGUCGGCUGAAACAAUGGUUAACAGGAACAGCCGGGGGCAUUCGUAUCGCUGCGCGAGAGGUGAAAUUCUUGGACC